AUCCAGCUGACGAGUCCUAAAUAGGACGAAACUCGCGUCCUGGAU
rfam:Schistosoma mattheei strain Denwood, Zambia genome assembly, scaffold: SMTD_scaffold0004752